AUUAAACCCCAAGCUCCCUCCUCACUCCAGGUAGGAGGGAUGUGACUGAUCUUGGAAGUUGCUGAAAGUAAUCUCUCUUCCAGGCUCCUGUCUGACAACGAAAGCCCCCAAGCCAAUAUGAGCUGGUUACAGAGAAAGAGAAGCUGAGAACACAGACCAGCAGGUAUCCCUUGUCUUGUUGAAUGGUACUGCCAACCACACACACCCAGCCAUCCGAUGGGGAUCCUGAUUUUUCAAACUUAAUCUAAGUCCAUCUGCCUCAGGAGACAUCACUACAGAAGAGAUCCAUUGGCCUGGAAAGAAGCUGUCUUUCCCUCCUUACCCUCAUCACAACCCUGUUCGCAACCUGGCUCAUUCAUCUGACUCCUGCAUAGACAGAAACCAAGCUCCUGGAGGCAAGAAUAAAAUACUCCCUCCUGCAUUCUGAGCAUCUAGUCUUUCAAAAAGGGUCUUCCAAAAAGUCUAUGUUUCCGAGUGAAUAAAGAAACAAAUCCUCCCAAACACA
ensembl:lncRNA